CCUACGGGGGACAGCAGUGGGGAAUAUUGCGCAAUGGGCGAAAGCCUGACGCAGCCAAGUAGCGUGAAGGAUGACUGCCCUACGGGUUGUAAACUUCUUUUAUAAAGGAAUAAAGUGAGGCACGUGUGCCUUUUUGUAUGUACUUUAUGAAUAAGGAUCGGCUAACUCCGUGCCAGCAGCCGCGGUAAUACGGAGGAUCCGAGCGUUAUCCGGAUUUAUUGGGUUUAAAGGGAGCGUAGAUGGGUUGUUAAGUCAGUUGGGAAAGUUUGCGGCUCAACCAUAAAAUUGCAAUUGAUACUGGCAGUCUUGAGUACAGUUGAGGUAGGCGGAAUUCGUGGUGUAGCGGUGAAAUGCUUAGAUAUUACGAAGAACUCCGAUUGCGAAGGCAGCUUACUAAACUGCCACUGACAUUGAUGCUCGAAAGUGUGGGUACCAAACAGGAUUAGAUACCCGAGUAGUC
rnacentral:rRNA from 1 species